GACAGAGGAUGCAAGCGUUGUUCGGAAUUACUGGGCGUAAAGCGCGUGUAGGCGGCGUCGUUAGUCGGAUGUGAAAGGCCCUCGGCUCAACCGAGGAAGUGCAUCCGAUACUGCGAGGCUUGAGUGUUGGAGGGGGUGGCGGAAUUCCCGGUGUAGAGGUGAAAUUCGUAGAUAUCAGGAGGAACACCGGUGGCGAAGGCGGGUCUCUGGGCCGUAACUGACGCUGAGAGCGAAAGCGUGGGGAGCGAACAGG
rnacentral:rRNA from 1 species